AGGAAGGAGGGGGACCUCAUGCGGCAGCAUGCUGUGAGUGCUGUGAAUGGGAUGUGCAGAUCAGUGAAUGUCCACAAAUGCUACUGGAAUAGCAGCACUUGCAUAAGGACUGGAUGACUCACACUAUACAGAGCCUGCCAUCGAAUAAGCCUAUACUUGUAGUAUGUAAGUGCCUCUUAGUCAUCCGUUCAAACUCAAUACAGCACUACAGUGAAGAGAGAGUGGAUCUCAUUAAUAGGACUGGUCAAAAAUUGUCAAUGAAAUCAAAUUUUUAACAAAAUGUUGUGUUGAAAACUCUGAAAGUCAGAAAAUUCCAACAAUAAAAAAACCCAAAUGUUUUUAAUGAAA